GCAAGAGGCCGCAUUUCUACCAGAAAGCCCGCCUUCGUGGAUAGCGUUCACCGCGAGCGUUUUCCGGAAGAGCACGUAGCCAAGGCCGCCAAGCGCGCUUGCUCACUCUGUCAUCGAGCCGGAGCCGUCGGAGUCCCGAGGUGGCCUGGCGUCCGCGGCACGAUCUCGCCGCACAGCCGGACUGUACGGCUGUAUACGGCGAAAGCUGCAGAAAGCGUGCCCAUCAACCAUCCCAAGUGAAUUCGGACGCUUGGAAGCGAAUCCAAGUGGACGUUGUGGUUAAAUCAUUUAAGAAGUGCUCAAUCACAAACAACUUCGGCGAAACGGAAGACUACCUGCUGUGGGACACCGAGAGCGGUGGUUCAAGCUGUGUGACGAACUCGAGUGGCAGUGAUUGUAACUGAGCAUCCGACACAAGCGGUGGGUUCACUGUGUGCAGCGAUUUUCUUUUGAAUGUUUACAAAAUAAAAUGUUAUUUCUCACA